AGUCGAACGGUGAAGCCCUUCGGGGUGGAUCAGUGGCGAACGGGUGAGUAACACGUGGGCAAUCUGCCCUGCACUCUGGGACAAGCCCUGGAAACGGGGUCUAAUACCGGAUACGACCUUCCUCUGCAUGGGGGUUGGUGGAAAGCUCCGGCGGUGCAGGAUGAGCCCGCGGCCUAUCAGCUUGUUGGUGGGGUAAUGGCCUACCAAGGCGACGACGGGUAGCCGGCCUGAGAGGGCGACCGGCCACACUGGGACUGAGACACGGCCCAGACUCCUACGGGAGGCAGCAGUGGGGAAUAUUGCACAAUGGGCGAAAGCCUGAUGCAGCGACGCCGCGUGAGGGAUGACGGCCUUCGGGUUGUAAACCUCUUUCAGCAGGGAAGAAGCGCAAGUGACGGUACCUGCAGAAGAAGCACCGGCUAACUACGUGCCAGCAGCCGCGGUAAUACGUAGGGUGCGAGCGUUGUCCGGAAUUAUUGGGCGUAAAGAGCUCGUAGGCGGCCUGUCGCGUCGGAUGUGAAAGCCCGGGGCUUAACCCCGGGUCUGCAUUCGAUACGGGCAGGCUAGAGUGUGGUAGGGGAGAUCGGAAUUCCUGGUGUAGCGGUGAAAUGCGCAGAUAUCAGGAGGA
rnacentral:rRNA from 1 species